rnacentral:lncRNA from 1 species
UGCACCUCAGGUAUAUAUGAUAGAUCUAGUCUUGAUAAGUUAUACAUCCAUAAGGACCUCUCCAUCAUGACCUGUUGAAAAGUUAGUAAAUUAAUUGAAAUAUUGUCUACGAAUAUUUGUUAUUAAAAAUAAAAGAAGACCUAACAAUUAAAUCAAAUUGAAAAAGGAAUCAUGAAAAUGGUGAGAGGAGAGGCAACAUCUUAAACAAGAGGGCACAAAAAUGCUUAUCGCAUAAUUAAAUCAAAUUUACAUAAAAAAUAACAUCCUAAACAAUAUAAUUUAAAAAACUAAAAAGAAAACUUACCUUUCUUAGCCACCUCCACCUCCUUCCAAGAAAUGAAGAUCAAAACCUCCACCCUUGUAUUUUGACCUGUUGAAAAGUUUGUAAAUUAAUUGAAAUAUUGUCUACGAAUAUUUGUUAUCAAAAACAAAAGAACACCUAACAAUUAAAUCAAAUUGAAAAAGUAAAACAAGUAUCAAAAAUAAAGACAAAACCAUAAAUAUAUAUCUUUAUAUCACUAAAAUAAAUUUGACAAGGUACAAAAACACUGUUGAUUGAAACUAAAUAUAUUAUAUCACUAAAAAAUUUGAGAAGGAAAAAUGGAAAUGGUGAGAGGAGAGGCAACAUCUGAAGCAACCUCAUAUAUAAAAAAUGCUUAUCGCAUAAUUAAAUCAAAUUUACAUAAAAAAUAACAUCCUAAACCAUAUAAUUUAAAAAACUAAAAAGAAAACUUAUCUUUCUCUCCCAAGCAUGAAAACACCAUUCAUGGAAACUACUACAUAUAUAUUUCUUAGAUUCACAAAUUAGAGAAGUAAACAUAAAAAAGAAGAUAGGAGAGACAUCAUAUAUCCAUCUUAAGCAACUUUAUUGGAGCAAAAUAGACCAUACCUAGCUAUUCUACUCUCUCUCUCUCAUAGUGAAACGCUAGAUCCAAAAAGUAGCUCAAAUUGAGCAAGAGGGCACAAAAAGAGGCAUUAGAGGCAUCAACUAACCUUUCUUAGCCACCUCCUUCCAAGAAAUGAAGAUCAAAACCUCCCCCCUUGUAUUUUGAAAAAUCUGAACCUCCAAGAUGGGCUGCAAUGGAAGGUGGCUGCGAGCUACAGUUCUGCCCGAGGAGGAAGAAGGGACUGGUGGU